CAUUGGUCCUCUCGCAAUGCUAGUAGGUUAACUUGGUCAGGUCCGGAAGGAAGCAGCCACAGCUUAUGAUGCAGGUGCCGGGAUGUGGCUGGUGGAG
rnacentral:SRP_RNA from 1 species